AAUAAAAAAAAAAAUUUAAGCAUGGCACUAGCAACACCAAAGGCAUGGGUCAAAUUACCAGGGAAUGCAUGAACUAAUCAAAUGCAAUGUAAGUCGCUUUGGAUAAAAGCGUCAGCCAAAUGCAUGAACAUCAAUUACAGAAAGAUGUACAGAAAGAAAAAAUCUACAUGAAAUAUCUACCCUUUGCUCUACGGUUAAAAAUGAUAAAGACUAGUGAAAACUAUUUUUCACUUAAAUGUUUCACUAAAUUAACAAGCACCAUAAAUUUGCUUAAUGGAUAACUACACUAUGCAUAAUCCUGAAGGAAGAAUAAUCCUACACGACCCAUAAUGCUGAAAUUAUCCUCAUGGAAAAUCUUCAUUAUAAUGGUUGGUAUAACAGCACUAGAGAACUCACCAAAAU